UGCUGGGUGGAUUACUGGCUACAGGUUUAGUAACACGUGAGUAACCUGCCCUUGACUCUGGGAUAAGCGUUGGAAACGACGUCUAAUACCGGAUACGAGCUUCCACUCGCAUGGUGAGUUGCUGGAAAGAAUUUUGGUCAAGGAUGGACUCUCGGCCUAUCAGCUUGUUGGUGAGGUAACGGCUCACCAAGGCGACGACGGGUAGCCGGCCUGAGAGGGUGACCGGCCACACUGGGACUGAUACACGGCCCAGACUCCUACGGGAGGCAGCAGUGGGGAAUAUUGCACAAUGGGCGAAAGCCUGAUGCAGCAACGCCGCGUGAGGGACGACGGCCUUCUGGUUGUAAACCUCUUUUAGCAGGGAAGAAGCGAAAGUGACGGUACCUGCAGAAAAAGCACCGGACUAACUACGUGCCAGCAGCCGCGGUAAUACCUAGGGUGCAAGCGUUGUCCGGAAUUAUUGGGCGUAAAGAGCUCGUAGGCGGUUUGUCGCGUCUGCUGUGAAAUCCCGAGGCUCAACCUCGGGUCUGCAGUGGGUACGGGCAGACUAGAGUGCGGUAGGGGAGAUUGGAAUUCCUGGUGUAGCGCUGGAAUGCGCAGAUAUCAGGAGGAACACCGAUGGCGAAGGCAGAUCUCUGGGCCGCUACUGACGCUGAGGAGCGAAAGGGUGGGGAGCAAACAGGCUUAGAUACCCUGGUAGUCCACCCCGUAAACGUUGGGCGCUAGAUGUGGGGACCAUUCCACGGUUUCCGUGUCGUAGCUAACGCAUUAAGCGCCCCGCCUGGGGAGUACGGCCGCAAGGCUAAAACUCAAAGGAAUUGACGGGGGCCCGCACAAGCGGCGGAGCAUGCGGAUUAUUUCGAUGCAACGCGAAGAACCUUACCAAGGCUUGACAUAUACGAGAACGGGCCAGAAAUGGUCAACUCUUUGGACACUCGUAAACAGGUUGGUGCAUGGUUGUCGUCAGCCUCGUGGUCGUGAGAUGUUUGGUUAAAGUCCCGCACCGAAGCGCAAACCCUCCUUUCUUAUUUUUGCAGGCACCUAAAUGGUGGGAAACCCAUUGGAAUACUGCCCGGGGGUCAAAUUCCGAAGAAAGGGGGGGGGACCCAACUCCAAAAUCAUUCAUGCCCCCUAUUUUUUUGGGGGCUUUCACCCCCUGGCUCUAAAAAU
rnacentral:rRNA from 1 species